AAUCUUGCUUGAUUCAGGUUGGCACUAUCACAUUACCUAUUAACCUUAUUUCUAUGGAGAUAUUUGUUUUUUAUGUGAUUUUAAGGUUAACUAUUCAUCAUGCCAAAAUUGAUUGCUUUCGUAAGGUUGUUAGUUUUCAUAUUCUUAAGCAACCUGUUAUUCGAAUUCAAGCAACCAAACCAUUGAAGUCAAACUCUUUCAUAUUAAAUUAUAAAGCCAUUUGUUUAUUGAAAAAUGAAUGUCAAGCUUUCUUAGUCCAUGUUAUGGAUUUGAAUAAAGACACGUCAAAUUUGAAUAAUAUUCCUGUUGUUAUUGAUUUUUC
rnacentral:lncRNA from 1 species